CACUUGGGACAAGGAGUUGGAGGUCACUAC
rnacentral:piRNA from 1 species